GCCGAAACCAAUCCGUCACACUGUCCCCGUUUUCUCGUCUCCUCCGUCUUCCUCCUCAUGGUUUCCCGCCUAUCAACUCCCUCCCUCGUAUUCUGCACCAACUCCCCUGCGCGAUCUCCUCCUUCUCGCGCGCCACUGAUCCAGCCUCCUCGGAAGCGGACGGUGUCUGCCUGCGUCCCCAACCGUCUCAGGUACCGCAGGCAUCGAGCACGGCGUGCACCGACGCUGUUCGACGUUGAUGUUUCUGGACGAGCUAGGAGGAUUGACAAGGCCUGGGAUUUGGUUCCAGUAACGGUGUUUGAACCUGCUGCUUCUAUGUGAGGAUAUUUGCCAGGGUAAUGUAGGAGCUACAGGAGAAUAAGAUUAGCCAGAAUAGAGACUGAGCAGUUUUUCCAACUUGGACCUGACAAGGGUGGAAACCAUGUUUGACAUUCAGAUAUGUAUGCUGCCAGUCCAAAGUGGGAUAUUAUCUUGACGACAGAGACAGAGCACCCUCUAUAAUAAGUUAAAGGUAAUUUACCGUGAGAUGAGAAGAUCUCUUCACAGGACCAGCUAAUACACAAUGUGACCUUCAUGUAUGUGCAUGACUACUCGAAGGGGGAGGCUGGAGCUGCUUAAACACUUAAAUAUCUGUAGAUUCAACCAUUUUAAGGAUGGUUCAUGUUCUUGUGGGGACUUCUGGGGAUUGAGAACCGAAUGAGACCAAUCAUCUCCAAGUGGUGCUCCCAUCAUGUAGCAAAUUAUUGUCCUGUGAGUAGUGGAUCUGCCGCUUUAAAGAUCCAUGUCGACUUAUAUUGUGAGAUUGGCCAUUCAAGUCAAUAAUGUCAUGCUGCCGACCCCAUUUGGUGUAAUAUCAGCAGUACCAUCUGAACUGUGCACAGCAAAUGGUAGCCCAGAUGUGGGUCCUUGAUCAUCUGAACAGACUGAGUGACCUACAAGCUCUUAUCUUGUACAGUAGUUGCGCCAUACAUCAUAAGACAAUACCUCUUACAUGUGCAGGAUUUAUUCAUGUAGAAAUAUGCUGGAAGUGGAUCUGGGUGUCUCAGGAAGUGAUUCGCUGCACUAUUGUCUAUGGGCGUGCUGCAGUAGAUAACUGCAGCGAUUGAUACACAUCUUGGUUCGCUCCCUCGUGAUUUCACCAUCCUCAUUGUUGUUUCCGAUCAAAGAAUGAUGAGCUAUGGAAAGUGGUAUGCUCCAUUCCCUCAUCAGUGUUCCCACUCUCAUGUGGUCUGCAAUUUGUUAACACUUAUAUGUUAUUUCAUGUUUGAUACUGUAUUUCACCUUGCUGCAUUGAACAUAAUUGUUACUGGAAAAUGUGCUGCAUCAAUGCAAACCUACUCAUGUAGGAUUUAAAUCCAUUUAACCUUUUGGUCAGGAAAAUGUGCUGCAUCAAUGCAAACCUACUCAUGUAUUCUGUGAUUCAUCUCUUGUGACUUGUACAGUUGGAAACCAAGUUACCCUGAAGCUUUAGUCAGACACUAUGCACAAUUUUAUUUUCUCAACAGUAUUGUCUUUGUCUAUACCAUCUGGGUUGGGGUAAUAUUCUACUAGAAAUGAUGCCACACACCUUUUGAGCUCCCAUUUGACAUGUAGCUGUUUCCUCUUCUCAGACACCUGUUUUCAUUUGUUUCUCAACAAAAAAAAACUUUACUCUGAUGCUUUCUUUUCUUCCUUCGGAAAAUGUCAUCACUUUCAUUGCUCAAAAUUAAAUAUUUAACUAAUUUAUUUGUUGUCAUAUGUCCUCGUCAUGAUGAUUAUCAGUUGGUCUAGGAGGUUGCUAUUCUGAGACUUGACUCAUAUCUCGCCAACAAUUUGGAGGCCUACUCAUUCUCUUUGUACCACAACGAGACACGAGACGAAAUAUCGAUACAGUGUAUAUGCUUGUCCAUAUGUUAUCAUUAACAGCUUAAAUAUAUGCGUAGUUUCCACACUGGCACAUCAUAGUUUUAUAGGACAAUCAGACAUACCUUAGGCCCUUACAGUCCUCCAAUGGCCCACCUUCUGUGCAUCCUGCGCCUGUUUUUCUCAAGGGAAGUACUGUUUCUGUACAAAAGCAGGCGUCUAGAACUACUAGCUGGUGCCGGGGAAAACGGCAAACGAUGCAUAUAACUACAGUAAGACAUGAGCAUUCAUCAGGCCAGCCCGUUCCUUGUGGACCAUGCUGGCUCAUGAGCCUCACCUCAUGAAGGCAGUGACUUAUUUGGAAAGCAACGAGAUCCAGUGGCUGAUGCCUGAUGGGUGCAUCAUGGCCAGCAUAUUGUAGGUCCAGUUUGUGGGUCGAUCAAGCCUCUGGCACCCCGUUUGUAUCGUGUGGGUGGCCAUUCACUCAUCUGAUUGAUGCAUCCUCGUGGCACUGUUGCUCAUGUUUUAUUUGACGUUUCUUCCAUAGUCCUGUUUUUUUUUUGACUUUUCACAAUAAUGCUACGCAGUAGGGCAUAGUUAAUAGGUUUUGUUCCCAGCUUAAAAAACUGCAGAUUUGGCUGCAAGUCUUUACGCAGAUGAUGCGAUUAGCCUGCACUUUUCAGUUGCACCUUCUCGGUAUGUGCUACAUGGAGUGAGAGUCUGCUUUACCAUUAUGGCACUCACAUGACCCAUUUGCGCUAAUGCUAAGAUAGAUUGGUUUUGGUGUUCAAAAGUGUUAAUCAUGUAACCCUGGGAUAAAAUUUCAUUCAUGCUUUUGGAAUUAGUGAAAGCUUUGCCCCUGCAGUGCACAUGGCUCGUGUUUCAGUAGUGGGCAGGAAAUCUGGCUGUUGAUACAGUAGUUAGCCUGCUAGUUUUAAUCAUCAUUUCCACAGUUGAUCAGUCGAAUGAUCUAGGGCCUUGUUUAAUUAGCUUGUCUUGGUAUUCUCCACUAAGUACAUGCAUGUAUGUAGCAAGACCUACUUCUCAGGCAACUUGCACCUGCAAUCUCUAGUCUUUACAACAAGUGCUUACACCAGAUUGGUGACCUAGGUGUUAGGCUUUUAAUCUAGAUUCUCCAGGCACUUUAUUUUAGCCUCGGCGUGUUUUGCAAGCUGGCAGUACGGCUAAUCUUUUAUGGCUGGCGACGGCUUGCCCUCUGCUAAGACUUGAAGAGCAGGUAUCACCAAGUCAGUUUAGCUCAUGUUCCUUCAGCAUCUGCUUUGUAACAUUGACUGGUCAUAACAAUAACAUGUUGUUUGUCUCAUGCUGGUUUGUUUACAUAGGCAACAAAGCUGGAGACAUAGCUCUAAUUUUCUUUUGGUACAUGUUUGUGAGGAAUCAUGCUGGUUAUUGGAGUUUAGCGGCCUUUUGUGUCUGGACUUGGUGCCUGUUAGACCAUCAGCUUAGCCAGCCUUUUGUUUCAGUAUCCUAUUAGGGGAAACUGAGCCCACUUGCACAUUCAUCUUUUGUUGAACUUUUCCUCCCCGAGGGAACAGAAAGGUUGA